UAGUGCAACCCGGAGAAAAAUGAUCUCAAUUUAACCACAAACCAAGAAUAAUGCAGCCAGAAUUACUGCUGCCUUCCCAGAGUUACUUUGCCAAUGCAAUUAAACGCUGGUCUGCAGGUUUCACCUUCUGUGACAGGAUGAGAGAUUAUUUCACUCUCCUUGCUAAAUCAGCCCAAU
rnacentral:sRNA from 1 species